GAUGAACGCUGGCGGCGUGCUUAACACAUGCAAGUCGAACGGUAAGGCUCCAGCCUUCUUGGUCACACGAUUGGCGAACGGGUGAGUAUCACGCGUGUGACCCGUCCUUCACUUCCGGAUAAGCCUUGGAAACUGCGUCUCAUAUCCCAUAGGAUCUUUGUGUGCAUAUUGUGCUGUAGAGUUUUUUCGGUGUGGGAUGGGUGCGCGGCCUAUCCGCUUGUUGGUGGGGUAAUGGCAGACCAAGGCGGCGCCGGGUAGCCGGCCUGUGAGGGUAGACGGCGACAAGAGGACUAAGAGAGGGCGCAGAAUGGUACGGGAGGCAGCAGUGGGGAAUAUUGCGCAAUGAGCGGAAGCCUGAUGCAGCGACGCCGCGUGGGGGAUGACGGGCUUCGGGUGAUAAACUCAUUUCAACAUCGACAAAGAGUUUCUGACGGUAGAUAGAGAAGAAGCAACGGCUAACUACGUG
rnacentral:rRNA from 1 species